rnacentral:rRNA from 1 species
UGGCAAACGGGUGAGUAACACGUGGGAACGCGCCUUUAGGUGGGGAAUAACGCUGAGAAAUCAGUGCUAAUACCGCAUAUGGUCUAACGACUAAAGCAGUGAUGCGCCUAGAGAGCGGCCCGCGACCGAUUAGCUAGUUGGUGGGGUAAUGGCCUACCAAGGCGUCGAUCGGUAGCUGGUCUGAGAGGAUGGUCAGCCACACUGGGACUGCGAACGGCCCAG